AGUGAACGCUGGCGGUAGGCCUAACACAUGCAAGUCGAACGGCAGCACAGUAAGAGCUUGCUCUUACGGGUGGCGAGUGGCGGACGGGUGAGGAAUACAUCGGAAUCUACUUUUUCGUGGGGGAUAACGUAGGGAAACUUACGCUAAUACCGCAUACGACCUACGGGUGAAAGCAGGGGAUCUUCGGACCUUGCGCGAUUGAAUGAGCCGAUGUCGGAUUAGCUAGUUGGCGGGGUAAAGGCCCACCAAGGCGACGAUCCGUAGCUGGUCUGAGAGGAUGAUCAGCAACACUGGAACGGAGAAACGGGCAAGACUCCUACGGGAGGCAGCAGUGGGAAAUAUUGGACAAGGGGCGAAAGCUUGAGCAAGCCAUCCCGGGUGGGUAAAGAAGGCCUUCGGGUUGUAAAGCCUUUUUGUUGGGAAAGAAAAGCAGCAGGUUAAUACCCCGCUGUUCUGACGGUACCAAAAGAAUAAGCACCGGCUAACUUCGU
rnacentral:rRNA from 1 species